UACAGAGGAGCCAAGCGUUGUCCGGAUUGACUGGGCGUAAAGCGCACGCAGGCGGACGCGCGCGUGGGGUGUGAAAUCUGGCCGCUUAACGGCCAGGCGCCAUCCCAUACGGCGCGUCUGGAGUGAUGCAGAGGUCGAUGGAAUUGCCGGUGUAGUGGUGAAAUGCGUAGAGAUCGGCAGGAACACCCAGGGGGAAACCAGUCGACUGGGCAGCACCUGACGCUGAGGUGCGAGAGCGUGGGGAGCGAACGGG
rnacentral:rRNA from 1 species